GGGAGGUGAGGAAGUGGAGAGAGCAGCUGUGGUGGCUGAAGGGUGCUAGGACAGAGGGAGCAUGAUAAAGCCAUAAUCUGACUACCACCCAACCUUGAGGCACAGUGAAGACAUCGGUGGCCACUCCAAUAACAGCAGUCACAGCUGCUCUUCUGGAGGUGUCCUACAGGUGAAAAGCCCAGCGACCCAUCAGGAUUUAAGUUUACCUCAAAAAUGGAAGAUUUUAACAUGGAGAGUGACAGCUUUGAAGAUUUCUGG
rnacentral:lncRNA from 1 species